rnacentral:tRNA from 10 species
GCCGAAGUGGUGGAAUUGGCAGACGCGCUGGACUCAAAAUCCAGUGGGGCUCACACCCCGUGUGGGUUCGACUCCCACCUUCGGCACCA